CCCACUGGUCACCACCCCAUACACACUGAGGAGCAAGAAAGAUCUGGUGCUUUUGCCCCAAGGACCCUUACAGGGGAGGAUGAAGUGUGGGGUACUGGUUGGGUUCCGACUGGCCUCGCCCGGCUGGCUUGAUUAAGGCUUCCUUCUCUGACAGAAUCUCCAGGCUCAUCUUCACCUUGCCCUAGGAACACCAUGGGUGAGGGGGAGGCUGAGUGCAGACAGCAGGAGCCGGGUAGUUUUAGGACCUCUUCCCGGGAUCAAGAAAGGAAAAGGGAUUUAGCUAGGUCCCUAGAUGUCUGUUAGAGCCAGGACAUGUGGCAUAGCAGCCCUAAUCAGUAGACACUCCCCAGCUCCUACCGACAAGCGCCAUUUGCCACCAUCGAGGACCUGGCAAGGCCACCAGCCAGUCACAGUCUUCUUCUUAAAGAGGGAGAAGUGCUUGUAUUGGAUGAAAUAGGGCCACUUGGGGUCGGCGUCCAUCAUCCUGAUGGAGCACUGCUUGGCGUGCCGAGCCGGGAGGGGCAUGUCAGACAAAUCCAGCUCCAGGACCCCUGAGCCCAGAAAAAUGACAUCAGCAAGAAGGAGCUCCCUGUCCUGUGGUCACAAGCCCUGUGUCAGGACCUCACCUAGGAAGUCGUCGGGGGAGAAGAUGUCAUUGUCCCAGACCUGGAUGAUAAGUCGGGCUGGGAACUUCAUGGACGUGGCAUCCAGGCUCCAUAUGUAAUCCUGGGGAAAUGGCGGAAGGGCGUGUUACCGGCCUGUCUCCUGGACGUUUCCCUUGCACCCCUCAGUGGCCCUCCACCCAGCAGUGAUAGACUAUCAAGGAAGAGGGUUUCCACCUGAGGACAUGUUUCUGAUGUUCUGGGACAGAUUGCAAGCCUCUGGAGGGGUGGGGGGAGGAGCUCCAGGAGCCUGGGUCUGUUUGUUGUGGCCUGUUGCCCCUCACGCCCCAGGCCUGUUACCUUCUGGCUCUGGACACACGUGCGCUCCGCCGCCAGGUAGUCCAUGGUAAAGAUGAACCGCCAGUUGAAGUCGGCCUCCCCAGUCAGCGAGUGGUAGUGGAUGUCUGUCUUCUGCAUGUCCUUCUCCAGCCCGUAUAACCACCUGGGGCCAGAGUCCUAUCACCUGUGGCUCAUGUGCAUUGGCCCCAUCCCCCAGCUGGAGCCCCAUGGGAAGGGCUGCCCAGCCGACGCCAGGCAGAGCUGGAUGGAGAGGUGUCCCAUUCAGGACUGGGCCGUGCCAGCAGGAUGACAGAACUGGGGAACUGAGGGGCUCUGCCGGAGCCUGACUCCUCUUCCCUACCCUUUGAUGUAGAUGUCGCUCGUCUUCUCUCUACUUAAAUUGUCAUCCACCAGGUC
rnacentral:lncRNA from 1 species